GCCGCAGUGGCUGGGGCCGGGCACCCGACUUUUCUGGACAUCUCUCAGCAAAGAGGAAGGAUGGAAACCGCAUCGCAAAAAGGUAAUAUGCCCUGGGUGCUGGGGAUGGCCCUUCUGGCUCUUAGCUUCUGGGUGUGGGCUCCAUGUCUUGUAUCUUAGCCUCUCACUGUCGCUGCCAGGAGCUUGGCACACGCACCAAGCUGGGAUUAGAGACUUUGACCCUGCCUGCGCCACUGACAGAAGCUGAAAGAAGCUGUAGAGGUCAGUGAAUUCGCCCACCCUUUUAAAAGGGGAAGGCUCUAUCCAUUGCUCCUUGGGUCUACUAGUGCUUUGAGGCGGGACUUGGUGUUGGGGAUGCUCCUUGAUCAUCCAAAUGGAACCCCCUCCUCAAUUGAACCACAGAAUAUAUGAGUAAAAAGAUUUCAAUUUGAGCCUGACGCGGUGGAGCAGGCCUGUAAUCCCAGUGGCUCUGGAGGCGGAGAGAAGAGAAUGUGGAGAGGUGCCAAGGAACUCAGUGAGAGUUCAAAAUAAGGCUUGGGAUACGGCAGAGGGCCCCUCAGUUCAAUCCCUGUACCAAAUAAAUAAAUAAAAUAAGAAAAUAAAUUUGAAUGAAUUUCUCAGUAUCUGGAGUGAGACCAGUCUUGAAAAGUUCUUUUCCAUUAUUUUCAGGAAUCACCAAAGGCAAACUGGAGCUUCCUAACAAGUGUCACCUGAGAGAUCUUCCUGUAAUCCAGAUGGUUAGUGUUGAGACUCUGUUCAUAUUUGCAGUGAAAUGGUUUACACCUUGAAAGCUUCCUUCCUCCUUUCCAAGCUUACAUUAAGUCGCUUUCAUUUGAUCUCCUGAAUAUCUUUUGAAUCAGCCAGCUUUUGAAUCUCCUUCAACAUCAUAAUGCAGGUCUUGCCUGACCUAUGGCAUUGGAGUCCAGUGGUGUCCAUAGAUCUAUUCUUUCCAUUCUUCCAGUAUGUUUUUUUGCAGAAAUCUUUUAAAUAGGUCAUUACAAAAAAUUGAAAUGGAAAUGGAACUGGAAGAAGUUCAUAGUUCUCAUAGACAGAGUAAAGCAUUAUUUUGAGAAUAAAAGGAAUCUCCUUACAUGGUCUAUAGGGUCCUGUAUGGUCUUGGAUCCUCUCUGCCUCCCCAGCCCCAUUUCUUGCUUCUCUUGACUUUCUGUGCUUCAGAUAUAUUGAAUUAACUAUAGUUAAUUUUAACUUGUACUAUAGAAGUGAGCGCAAAUAUUACUUUUCAGGGUUGACUCCUAGUAUUUUCAAGAGAAGUUCACAAUCCCUUUUCUUUGGAAGAGUUUUCAAACAUAAAGUUUAAAUUCUCUACUGAUUGAAUUUGAUACUAUCAGAUGUAUGAAGAUGAAAACAUCAUUUUUAGUGAAAGAAUUGAAUUUAAACUAUUGUCCUGUGUUUGUUUUAAUAACACCUCGGUAUUUGGUUAGCUUUUGUCAGGGAUGCAGAAGUUUUGACCAUCUGAUUUUAGAUAUUGCGUAUUUCUGGAGACCUUUGUUCUGUUGCCUUGGAUCUGUUUUCCAGAUGGGCAGAUGGGAAGAAGGGUUACUAUCAGGCAGGAAUGAAUAAGUUAAGUGGCAGAAUGAGAAGCAGAGAAUAGGAACAUGCUCUGUGGGCUAUGACUGUGGUAUUCCAGAAGCCUUUAUUCUGUUCAGGGAGACAAGGCUAACAUACAGUUUGACUAACCAAAAACAUAUCCACUAGGUGGAAAGACCACCUCCCAGUUGGACAGAGGAUGCCUGAGACUGGAUUCAUUGCUUUCAAAGUUCCUU
rnacentral:lncRNA from 1 species